CUUCUCACAACGUCUCACUCGUCUUACUAAGUCUUGUCCUGGCUCUGGGUAUACUUCUUGCGGAAAACACAAGCACUGCUCUCGUUCUCAGUAGGCAUUCGCGUUUCAAAGAAUCGUGGAGCCGCGCCGAUGACUCUAGCAAUCGCAGAUCGAAGCCAUUAGCCAUAAAUGUGACCGGAGAUGACAAUGUGGAAGUGAAUGCGGAAUGUCGAGCCUCUGGGCGGCCUUGCACUGACGACGAUCAGUGCUGCACCGAUAUAUGUCUACACUUUAGGCGGUGCUCCACCCAAGCAGCUAAGCUGCAGCAAAUGGAUGCAGGUCUUGUUCCAAUUGAAAGUAAAUAGCGAUGUUAUUUGUAUUGAUAAUUAUUUAUAAAUAUCCAUAAUACACAGUCCUUCUUCAACCUUUUA